rnacentral:lncRNA from 1 species
GUCAAGCUGUGAAGUCAAGCAACUUCCUGCAUUAUGACCUCUCAGUCACAAAGGGAAUACAUUUCUUCUUGCAGCAUUAGUAAGCUGUUUUCUCAUCCACAGGUAUGUGUAAUGUUGUUGGGCAUGGACAGGACGUCUAUUCAUUGAACAUGUCAUCAGACAGAAAGAAAUGGUUACCAGCUUGGAUUCAACUUGUCCUGUUAAACUGAUACCCUAAAAGAACAACAAAAAUGUCAAGAUUAUGUCAAUUGGUCAGGAUUCCUCAUGCCUUGAAUAUUCAGAUGAUGCUGUGAAUUUCAUUAGACAUCAGUGCUUUAUUGACCCCUUCACCCAAACAAUCUCAUAGCAGUCAAGUACUCAGAGCUCAGGACAGUAGCAGUUGAAUCAUCUCAAGAAACAAAGAAGGGUUGAAAGAGGAUACUUUUGAGGUCUGAAAGGUCUUCUGAUAACAGACAUUUGUUUGUGAACCUACUACAAACAGUCUCAGCAGCAAGCACCGCUCUGACUUUGAAGUCUGGAACUUGGAAAAUGUGCAGUCAUUUGAUACUACCACCUUCUUUUCUGAAUCUGCCAAGCAGUUUCUUCCUAAAGAUGAAAAACUAGAUUCAAGAAGCUUAAGAACUUGCACGGAGGAAAGUGGUGACAGGAUUUUGAACUAUAAAUGUGAGAGUCUGAAUAUACAAAGGGAAAAUGGUCAUACUAUAUAUAAAAAUAGAACUCUGACCCACAACCUGUAGCAACCUGACCAGGAAACCGACCUCCUUAUCUACAAUAAACAACCCAGGAAGGCAUUCUGCUAUAAAUGA